rnacentral:rRNA from 1 species
ACACUCCUACGGGAGGCAGCAGUGGGGAAUUUUACGCAAUGGGGGAAACCCUGACGUAGCGACACCGCGUGAGCGAAGAAGCCCUUUGGGGUGUAAAGCUCUGUCAGCUGGAACGAAAACAAUGACGGUACCAGCAGAGGAAGCAUCGGCUAACUACGUGCCAGCAGCCGCGGUAAGACGUAGGAUGCGAGCGUUGUCCGGAUUUAUUGGGCGUAAAGAGUUCGUAGGUGGUUUGUUAAGUUUGGUGUUAAAGAUCGGGGCUCAACCCUGGGACUGCACUGAAUACUGGCAGACUCGAGUGUGGUAGAGGCUAGUGGAAUUCCCAGUGUAGCGGUGAAAUGCGUAGAUAUUGGGAAGAACACCGGUGGCGUAGGCGACUAGCUGGGCCAUAACUGACGCUGAGGAACGAAAGCCAGGGGAGCGAAUGGGAUUAGAUACCCGAGUAGUCCCAUG